CUUGUUCGUAAUGACGUCUGUUCAGAGAGCCAAUCCCAGUCUCGCGACUCCUGCUUGCUGGGCGCGGCCCGGGCCUCCAGGCUCCGCGGCGCAGCCGCUAUCAGGCGGAGUGCAGUUUUUACCGAGCAGCCAGCUACUGAAAAUUACCAAGGAGAGGUAGGAGAUAAGGAGCUGAAAUCUACCAGGGUGCAACGUGUGGUUAUACAAACAUAUGUAACCUAUAUACCCAAAGUACCCAGCACAUUUCUGAAAAAAAGUCAAAAGAAGUUACUGAACCUGCCAGAGACCUACAGCCAGAAUUUCAGAGCUUCAGAAACUUGUGUAAUAAGAAAUCUAUCAGAACUUUUGUUCAUUUACUUAUCUAACAUUUAUACAAGUCUCACUAUGUACCAGGAAGGAAGUUGGGUGCUAGGAAUUAUGGGAUGAAAACUGUAGACCUUGCCCCCAAGAGCUUCACUAUCUUAU
rnacentral:lncRNA from 1 species